rnacentral:misc_RNA from 1 species
CUUUUGACGUUCCGGUCGCGGAUAGCAGAAACCAUGGGCGCGUACAAGUACAUGCAGGAGAUCUACAGGAAAAAGCAGAGUGAUAUUUUGAGGUUUCUGCUACGUGUUCGCAGCUGGCAAUAUCGCCAAUUGUCAUCUUGCCACCGUGCACCUCGCCCAACUCGCCCCGACAAGGCUAGAAAGUUGGGAUACAAAGCCAAACAAGUGGUGUGAACCAAAAGAAAUUCCAAAGAUCACACAGAUCCAUUGCAGAGGAACGUGUUGGCAAGAAAUGUGGUGGCCUUCGUGUGCUGAACUCCUACUGGGUAGCACAGGAUUCCUCCUACAAGUUCUACGAGAUCAUUAUGGUUGAUAUUUUCCACAAGGCUGUACGUCGUGACCCCAAGCUUCAAUGGAUCUGUAACCCAGUACACAAGCACAGGGAGUUGCGUGGUCUCACUUCUGCUGGCAAGAUGUCUCGCGGUCUGGGCAAGGGACACAGAUAUACCAAGACAAUCGGAGGCUCGCGUCGUGCUGCAUGGAAGAGGAACAAUUUGACCAAAAUGCGCAGAAAGCGUUAAUUUUUUUCAGUUCUUUUUUCCUUUUCCAUUUUUUCCUUCUCCAAGUUUCUUGGAGGAAGCAAAUCUCUGUGUGAGUUUUAUUGUCUGCGGACUACGGAAUAAACAUGGGGAAUC